rnacentral:lncRNA from 1 species
AGAAGGGAGGAGGCAGGAGCGAGGAGGGAGGAGGGCCAAGGGCGGGCAGGAAGGCUUAGGCUCGGCGCGUCCGUCCGCGCGCGGCGAAGAUCGCACGGCCCGAUCGAGGCGCGACCGGGUCGGGGCCGCUGCACGCCAAGGGCGAAGGCCGAUCCGGGCCCCGCUUCGCCCCGGCGGCUCGCCGCGCCCACCCGCUCCGCGCCGAGGGCUGGAGGAUGCGUUCCCUGGGGUCCGGACUUAUGAAAAUAUGCAUCAGUUUAAUACUGUCUUGGAAUUCACGAGAUGGAAGCAUAGAUCAAAGCUGUUUGGAGAAAAU